CAUUGGUUAGCAGACCAACAGGGAUUGCCUUAGUAACGGCGAGUGAAGCGGCAACAGCUCAAAUUUGAAAUCUGGCCCUUGGGUCCGAAUUGUAAUUUGUAGAGGAUGAUUUUGGUGCGGUAUCUUCCGAGUUCCUUGGAACAGGACGCCUUAGAGGGUGAGAGCCCCGUACGGUUGAAUGCCUAGCCUCUGUAAAUCUCCUUCGACGAGUCGAGUAGUUUGGGAAUGCUGCUCUAAAUGGGAGGUAAAUUUCUUCUAAAGCUAAAUAUUGGCCAGAGACCGAUAGCGCACAAGUAGAGUGAUCGAAAGAUGAAAAGCACUUUGAAAAGAGGGUUAAAUAGCACGUGAAAUUGUUGAAAGGGAAGGAUUUGUGACCAGACUUUUUCUGGGCGGAUCAUCCGGGGUUCUCUCCGGUGCACUUCGCCCAGUAAAGGCCAGCAUCGGUUUUCGGCGUGGGAUAAAAGCAGUAGGAAUGUGGCUCUCUACGGGGAGUGUUAUAGCCUAUUGUAUAAUACCGCGCUGGGGACCGAGGUUCGCGCUUCUGCAAGGAUGCUGGCGUAAUGGUUAUCAAUCACCCGUCUUGAAACACGGACCAAGGAGUCGAACAUUUGUGCGAGUGUUUGGGUGUUAAACCCUCACGCGUAAUGAAAGUGAACGGAGGUGAGAGCCCUUACGGGUGCAUCAUCGACCGAUCCUGAAGUUUUCGGAUGGAUUUGAGUAAGAGCAUAACUGUUCGGACCCGAAAGAUGGUGAACUAUGCGUGGAUAGGGUGAAGCCAGAGGAAACUCUGGUGGAGGCUCGCAGCGGUUCUGACGUGCAAAUCGAUCGUCAGAUCUGCGCAUGGGGGCGAAAGACUAAUCGAACCAUCUAGUAGCUGGUUACCGC
rnacentral:rRNA from 1 species